rnacentral:rRNA from 1 species
CCCUUAGAUGUUCUGGGCCGCACGCGCGCUACACUGAUGCAUUCAACGAGUUUCCUGGACCGAGAGGUCUGGGCAAUCUUUUUAAUGUGCAUCGUGAUAGGGAUAGAUUCUUGCAAUUAUUAAUCUUGAACGAGGAAUUCCUAGUAAACGCAGAUCAUCAAUCUGCAUUGAUUACGUCCCUGCCCUUUGUACACACCGCCCGUCGCACCUACCGAUUGAAUGGUCCGGUGAAGCCUCGGGAUUGUGACUGGCUCUACCACGUUGCGAGAACUUGUCUAAACCUUAUCAUUUAGAGGAAGGUGAAGUCGUAACA